CCUACGGGAGGCAGCAGUGGGGAAUAUUGGACAAUGGGGGGAACCCUGAUCCAGCCAUGCCGCGUGUGUGAAGAAGGCCCUCGGGUUGUAAAGCACUUUCAGUGAGGAAGAACGCCUGGUGGUUAAUACCCAUCAGGAAAGACAUCACUCACAGAAGAAGCACCGGCUAACUCCGUGCCAGCAGCCGCGGUAAUACGGAGGGUGCGAGCGUUAAUCGGAAUUACUGGGCGUAAAGCGCGCGUAGGUGGCUUGAUAAGCCGGUUGUGAAAGCCCCGGGCUCAACCUGGGAACGGCAUCCGGAACUGUCCAGCUAGAGUGCAGGAGAGGAAGGUAGAAUUCCCGGUGUAGCGGUGAAAUGCGUAGAGAUCGGGAGGAAUACCAGUGGCGAAGGCGGCCUUCUGGACUGACACUGACACUGAGGUGCGAAAGCGUGGGUAGCAAACAGGAUUAGAUACCCGGGUAGUC
rnacentral:rRNA from 1 species